rnacentral:lncRNA from 1 species
CAUCACAUUUGAUUAAUUAUAUUCGAAUACUUCUUUUUAGUCUUUUUAUUUGUAAGGAAAAACUACAAAGAGGUUAUUUGUGAACCGUUGAUGAUUCCAUCAAAUCAGAAUCUGAUAUCGUUUGAAGUAUGCUGACACCCACUUGUAAAUCAUGCUUAAUAUGCCCUGACCUCAAACAUAGUGGUUGAAUACCUGUUAUGAUCUUGAUUACGGGUUCUGCUUUGACUCUUGGUACGUGGGGUUUUCUUUUAUUUAAGGAUGGUUCGCCACUUAAAGGUAGAAUACAAACGAUUCUCAAUUGAGCAUGCACGUCAUUACCAAUUUGUGUGCGCAAAGAAGUGUUUUACUCUCAUAUUAACAUUUUAAUGCAAAUAAAUAUUAGACGUCGGAAUCUUGUGCAAAAUCACAAACUACACAUAUUUAAAGUGUAUGGAAACAUCAAAUGGCUCAUCAUUCAUAUUUUCACUAAGCGUAGUUCUAUUAAUCGGAGUUGAAUAUUAGUCAUCAUUUUGAUUGUAUAGGUAAUCUUUUCCCAAUUUUCUUGGAAUAUUCUGAUUAAAAUAAUAUAUAUGCAUACUUUUCAAACACUUUUGCAAACCAUGCUGAUUUGGGCGUUGUGAUGGUAGAUAUUUUCUCUUCAAUUUUAAUAUUAUCACCUUGGUAGGAGUUAUCUUUCCGUUUUUUUAACAAUAAACUCCGACUUUUCUUAUGGAGCUUGGAAGCCGGGCAUCUUGGCAGCCGGCGUAGCCUGGAGCUUCUACAACACCAAUGGAGAAAUUAUUGUUAAAUAAUUUUAUGAUUUCGAUUAAUGAAAUCUACCCCAAGACCAUAAUCUAGAUUUAGUUUAAUUCAACCCUAACACAUUUCUAAAGAAGAUAGAAACACUAACCUUGAUCCAUGCUUGGAUGCAAUUCCACCAAUUGAUCUUCUCCUCUUUAACCUUCUCCCUUUUGGUGAUUUCCUUGAUGGACAAGAAAUCCCAAACCUUCCUUAAUCUCUCCUUUUGAUAAAUAUUAUUGUUGUAUUGUGUUUUAGAGAGACUCGUAAGAAAACGUAUGUGCAACACAUGAUGUACGAGUCACUUUUAUAUUAAUCAAAGGGUGUGUCUUAACCAACACACC